rnacentral:sRNA from 1 species
CUUCCUCUGACUUCUUUGUCAUUCGGCGGGAGGCCAUAAAACUAACUGUUGUCGGCAUCUCUCCUUCAUCGCGUAUAGAUAAUUACCCAGCUUACACAGCUUACACUCAGCAGUGUCUUAGGGCUCAUGUCUAUCAAGCAUCAGCAUUAACUUAUGGGGAAGCAGAAGAGUGCUCCUCUCAGAUACUCGCAGUGGGUUUGGUUGGACAACUAUUUCGGCAAAACGGAAUCACAGCAUGCCUAAUACUCGCUGUCGUGAGGGAUGCACAUGCGCGAGGACAUCCAAAUUUAGAUGUGUGUCCUUUGGCACUAAUUAAAGACAGAAUAUGGGAGGUUGAGAGUACAUUGCCUCUUCUGACCGUCGCUUAACUGUAGUAACCCUCGUGAAGGCUCUUCGCUCUUCUGGCCAUACGUUCGAUACUCCAUUAAAAUAACUGCUGCCUCAUUUGAGAAUAAUAUGUCGCAUAAAAUUGUGGACUUGCAGAGAGAACGGUUUGGAAUGGACAAAGAUGACUGGGUGUGAAGUUUGUCCUGAGAUGAAUGUGGUGAAUAUUAUAUAUCCAUGUAAUACUUCUAAAUCCGGGAUUUACAUGGAGCUUAAGGGGGGCUACAAAGCUUAUUGCGAAUGGUCGGGGCAUUUUGAAUUUUCUCCUUGGGCUGUUUAAUUACCCCGGGUAUCCCUCUGUAAUCCAUCUAUCUGGCUUGACGCCUUACUAUAGCCCCCAUUAGAACGUGAAGCUACCGUUUAGAUGGACAUGAAGCUUCCAUCAUGAAUUGCCCAGGGUUAAAGGAGGAGGCUCACUUUGCUUUCGAAUGACUCUGAUUGAAGGAGUCAACAGUUCCUGAAAAUAUUCAUGGAGGUCAUCUUCGCCUGGUUUGUGGAUCAAGAGAGAAAACUGAAUUGGUGAACGGGCAGCAUACGUAACAUUUUUGAACUCUUCUCUGCAUACAUCUAGCAAGGCACCACUUUCUGCGGUACUCUAUUUCAUUAUGUAUACUAUGCUAUUAUCUGUCUU